rnacentral:rRNA from 1 species
UACGAAGGGGGCUAGCGUUGCUCGGAAUCACUGGGCGUAAAGGGUGCGUAGGCGGGUCUUUUAAGUCAGGGGUGAAAUCCUGGAGCUCAACUCCAGAACUGCCUUUGAUACUGAGGAUCUUGAGUUCGGGAGAGGUGAGUGGAACUGCGAGUGUAGAGGUGAAAUUCGUAGAUAUUCGGAAGAACACCAGUGGCGAAGGCGACUGACUGGACAGAUAUUGACGCUGAGGUGCGAAAGCGUGGGGAGCAAACAGG